rnacentral:rRNA from 1 species
UACGAAGGGACUAGCGUUGUUCGGAAUCACUGGGCGUAAGCGCACGUAGGCGGAUGUGUCAGUCAGGGGUGAAAAUCCCGGGGCUCAACCUCGGAACUGCCUUUGAUACAGCACGUCUCGAGUCCGGAAGAGGUGGGUGGAAUUCCUAGUGUAGAGGUGAAAUUCGUAGAUAUUAGGAAGAACACCGGUGGCGAAGGCGGCCCACUGGUCCGGUACUGACGCUGAGGUGCGAAGCGUGGGGAGCAAACAGG